UCUCACUUAAGAGGAAAGACUGUUCCAUCUGAAGAGGAAAUGUCUGAGAGGUGAUCUCAUAUCUUCAUGAAUAUCUAGGGUGUAAGAGUCAAGCUUAUGGGUUGAACUCUUUUCUGUGGUAUGCAGCGACAGAACAAGGGGCAGUGGUAAGAAACUGGAACCCAGGAAGUUCCACAUUAUCACAAGAAGAACUUCUUUACUGUGAGAUAGACAGUGCUUUGGAGUAGGCUGCCCAGAGAGGUUGUGGAGCUGUCCUUCUCUGGAGAUAUUCAAGACUGAUCUGUACGUCUACCUAUGCAAUCUGCUGUAGGAAACAUGCUUUAGCAGAGAACAUGAAAAAAAAGACCCAAGUUGAAGAUUACUAACAAGGCUCACGAAGACAGUAGCAGAGGAACACUGAUAAAAUGGUGCCUGACAUGAAGCAGAAGUAUGCAAUUAUUUCCUCCACGUGGAAAAAAAGUUGCAUCCACAUACAGUGAUGCUUGCUGAACGCAUAUGAAGACCGAACAGUGGAUGUGAGCACUGUGAGGCGGUGGGUGGUGCAUUUCAGCAACGGUGACAAUGAUGUGAAAGACAAGCCAUAUUCUGGACAUCCUUGCACAGCUGUCACACUAUGAAAUGGAGAGCAUCUUGAUCAGCUCAUCUGGG
rnacentral:lncRNA from 1 species